GGACCCGUAGCCUAGCCAGGAUAUGGCGGCAGCCUCCUAAGCUGCAGGUCCCGGGUUCGAAUCCCGGCGGGUCCG
rnacentral:tRNA from 1 species